rnacentral:rRNA from 1 species
UACGUAGGGUGCGAGCGUUGUCCGGAAUUAUUGGGCGUAAAGGGCUCGUAGGCGGUUUGUCGCGUCGGGAGUGAAAUCCACUGGCUUAACUGGUGGCUUGCUUUCGAUACGGGCAGACUGGAGGCAUGCAGGGGAGAACGGAAUUCCUGGUGUAGCGGUGGAAUGCGCAGAUAUCAGGAGGAACACCGGUGGCGAAGGCGGGUCUCUGGGCCAUUACUGACGCUGAGGAGCGAAAGCGUGGGGAGCGAACAGG